AAACCUUAGAAUAAAAAACCUCUAGCAAAACCAAAACCUAAACAUUCUACUCUAUCUCCUACAAAACCUUAACCAUAAUCGUGCAAAACAAAAACCCUUCUAACAAAACCCCCAAAUUCAAUCUCCCGCAAAAUCUAGACUAUAAUCGCGCACCACCACCAGAUCACCGCCGCACAAAUGUACCGCCACCGCGCUACUGUUCCGCUGCUUCUUUUCAACCUCUGGUGACCAUCGCCUCUCCACACUCCGAAUUUCGAGGUUAGUAUUCUUAGUUUUGUUCUAAAUCUUUAUCCUGCAACUAAUAAUGUUCUUAAUUACGAAAUUGUAAUGUCGAAUUGAUGUUUUAGGUCGAAUCAUAAAGGAGGGUGUAAUAAUUAAAUCGAAUUACAUUUAAUUUAGUAGGAUUAUUGCAAAAAAAUCUGGUGAAUUUAGUCAAAUUAAACUGAAUUUUUUAGUUAAUAUGAUUUAAGUUUGAUUAAAUUGAAAUUUGCAGUUAGGGAAAGAAAGGGGAUAAUGAAAAAUUGAAUUCUUCAAGGAUCUGGAUUAUCUUUGAAUUUUCUACUUUUAGUACUGAUUUGUUGUCUAUUGAGUGUUAUAUGUAGAUGCAAUGUGUAGUUGUUAGAAUAAGCGCAUGCUGCCUUCACCUUUGCCGAAAAUCGACAGUGUCGUCAGGACAAGCUCCUGAAUAGGCUAAACUGAACAAGUUGUUCUUCAGAUCAUACCCAAUGUGAGCAUUCCUUUGUUGGUGAAAUGCUAAUACGGACACCUUACCCUCACUUUCUUUGAGCCUAUAGCCAGGCAAUAUAACCCUGAGUGCCUUAUCCAUAAAUUUGCAUCAUAUAACAUGUAGACGAGGCCAUUGAAGUGGAACAUCGCCUCUGCAGCUUUGCUGAUGAAUGUAGUUCAUAACACUAAUCACGGUACAUAAUCAGACUAGUCGAGGUGAUAGUUUCUUUCCUUCGGGAAUCCAAAUGUGGUGGACACCCUUAACAUUUACCAGACAUUGAAUAUAAAUAUCAGACCCUUUCUGCCUUAUGGAUAAAAUGCAUUUACCUGACCUCCACUCUUAGAAAAAGUUGUAUAUUUGAUGUUCUCUUGAUGUUUGAGUAGUGAGGGGGCUCAUAAUUGGUUGUUUGGUAAUUGGUAAGAGUUGAGCGCUGUUUUUCCUGCCCAACAGACGACAAUUAAGACUAGCUUAGCACAGCUCUCUGUUUAUUCCUUGUAAAGUUAAGCUCAGUUUUCAGGUAUAAGUCCUACAUAAGGAGUUUUUGUUUACUCCUUGCAACUUAAGUCGAUGAUGGUUAGUUAGGUUUCGAUUAAUAGAACAAAGUUGAACUAAAAAGCAAUAAAAAUAAAAUGUAUCCUCUUCUUAGAUGUUUUCAGAAUAAUUGCUUUCAGUGAAGUGUAUUUAUGGUCAAUUUUCUGUUGCUGUUUUUUUUCUUUUUUCUAUCUUCUUUUGUUUCUAUCAAUAGUUAACUUUCACAUGAUUUCUUUAAUUGGCUGGUGGCACAAAUGCUCACACAAUAAAAGGGUUGAAGGAACACAGACUUUUUCAAACCAUGAGGAACCCGGAUGAUGAGAUCUUGACCUGAGAAAUAUCUAGUUCAUGCAAUUCUCUAAUUGGUGGUAUGGCAUAUGGUGGCUAUGCUAGGAAGGUACAAAGGUGUGAAGACUCUAGACCUCUAAAAAUUGAGUUGAGAGGAAAAUGAACAGUGUGAUUCGGAUGCAUACUGUUUGUGCUAGAGCUUUUGGACCUGCAGAUAGAGGAAGGUUUAAUUACAAGUUCAAUGAAAGAAAUACCGAGAAAAUUAUAGGCAGAAUCAGCCACCUGCAGAUGAAUCUUCACACCUGCAUCAAUAAACCUGCGUAUUUUAUCAAAGCUCCCACGUAUUCUCAAACUACGAUUGACGAGCUAAGGGAGAGGUGGAUCUCAUACGUUAGCGAAUAUCACCGACCAAAUAAUGAUGAAGAGGAAGAUCAUGAUGACGAUGAUCUAUUGUGACUUAAGCUAGCUCAAGGAGAUGGUUAUCUCAGUUCAGUCCUGCAGAUGAACCAAGUCUGGUUUCUGUUGUUGCUGCAGAAGCUGUUGUUGCUACAUAAUCUGUUCUUGCUGCAGAAUCUGUUUUUUUUUUGUAGUGAUAUUGGAUUUUUUUUUUGAUGUACCUUGGAUCAUUUAUAUUUUAUCAAUGAUUAAUAGGAUUGUUAUUGAAUAAACAAUAUUAUUUUGUUAUUUAAUGAAAGGAUUUUUGGACA